rnacentral:tRNA from 1 species
GCGCCCGUAGCGCAAUGGAUAGAGCACUAGCCUUCUAAGCUAUAGGUUGCAGGUUCGAGUCCUGCCGGGCGCGCCA